rnacentral:lncRNA from 1 species
UAGAAGAAAGGAAAAAUCUUGCAGCAAGCCUCAAUACUGAUGAAUUGAGAAUACAGUGUUGGUUUCAAAAUAGAAGAGCCAGAUAACAGCAAAAGCAGGCAUUCCUGGCUUCUACCUGCUCAAGAAAAAAGAUGGGACAGGAAAAUCCGUCUCCAAGUAAGAUU